UGGGGAAUUUUGCGCAAUGGGGGCAACCCUGACGCAGCGACGCCGCGUGCGGGACGAAGUCAUUCGUGACGUAAACCGCUUUCAGCGAGGAAGAACCAUGACGGUACUCGCAGAAGAAGCCCCGGCUAACUACGUGCCAGCAGCCGCGGUAAUACGUAGGGGCGAGCGUUAUCCGGAAUCAUUGGGCGUAAAGCGCGCGCAGGCGGGCUUUCAAGCGGCGGCGUCGAAGCCGGGGGCUCAACCCCCGGAAGUGCCCCGAACUGGAAGCCUCGGAUGCGGCAGGGGGAGGCGGAAUUCCCGGUGUAGCGGUGAAAUGCGCAGAUAUCGGGAAGAACACCGACGGCGAAGGCAGCCUCCUGGGCCGGCAUCGACGCUGAGGCGCGAAAGCUGGGGGAGCGAACAGGAUUAGAUACCCUGGUAGU
rnacentral:rRNA from 1 species